rnacentral:rRNA from 1 species
UUGGAGGGCAAGUCUGGUGCCAGCAGCCGCGGUAAUUCCAGCUCCAAUAGCGUAUAUUAAAGUUGUUGCAGUUAAAAAGCUCGUAGUUGAAUUUCGGAGUUUGUCGGUCGGUCGGGCUUCACUGUCCGCACUGGCCUGAUGAAUUCCUACCUUCUGAAUAACCAGCAUGCUAUUAAGUUAGUGCGUUGGGGAAGCAGAGCUAUUACCUUGAAAAAAUUAGAGUGCUUAAAGCAGGCUUAUGCUUGAAUAGAUUAGCAUGGAAUAAUAAAAUAGGACGGCAUGGUUUUAUUUUGUUGGUUUCUAGGAUCACCGUAAUGAUUAAUAGGGAUAGUUGGGGGCAUUAGUAUUCAAUUGUCAGAGGUGAAAUUCUUGGAUUUAUUGAAGACUAACUUCUGCGAAAGCAUUUGCCAAGGAUGUUUUCAUUAAUCAAGAACGAAAGUUAGGGGAUCGAAGACGAUCAGAUACCGUCGUAGUCUUAACCAUAAACUAUGCCGACUAGGGAUCGGACGAUGUUAAUUUUUUAAUGACUCGUUCGGCGCCUUACGGGAAAC